CAAGUGGCGGAAUGGUAGACGCAGGGGAUUCAAAAUCCCCCGCCUUUGCGGGCGUGCCGGUUCGAGUCCGGCCUUG
rnacentral:ncRNA from 13 species